AGCGAACGCUGGCGGCAGGCCUAACACAUGCAAGUCGAACGAACUCUUCGGAGUUAGUGGCGGACGGGUGAGUAACACGUGGGAACGUGCCUUUAGGUUCGGAAUAACUCAGGGAAACUUGUGCUAAUACCGAAUGUGCCCUUCGGGGGAAAGAUUUAUCGCCUUUAGAGCGGCCCGCGUCUGAUUAGCUAGUUGGUGGGGUAAUGGCUCACCAAGGCUACGAUCAGUAGCUGGUCUGAGAGGAUGACCAGCCACAUUGGGACUGAGACACGGCCCAAACUCCUACGGGAGGCAGCAGUGGGGAAUCUUGCGCAAUGGGCGAAAGCCUGACGCAGCCAUGCCGCGUGAAUGAUGAAGGUCUUAGGAUUGUAAAAUUCUUUCACCGGGGACGAUAAUGACGGUACCCGGAGAAGAAGCCCCGGCUAACUUCGUGCCAGCCGCCGCCGUAA
rnacentral:rRNA from 1 species